rnacentral:rRNA from 1 species
ACCUGGCUCACACCGGUUUAAACUCAGAUCAUGUAAAAUUUCAAAGGUCGAACAGACCUAAUUUACUAGCUUCUACACCAAUAAUUUAUUUUAAUCCAACAUCGAGGUCGCAAUCUUUUUCUUCGAUAAGAACUCUAAAAAAAAUAACGCUGUUAUCCCUAAGGUAAUUUCAUCUUAUAAUCUUAUUCCAGGAUCAUAUAUUCAUAAAUAAAUGAUUUAAUAAAAAAAAAGUUUAUCCAAUUUUUUUAUCACCCCAACAAAAUAUUCUUUAUAUUACAACAUACUUUAAUUCUUAAUUUCGUUUAAUAAAAAAAAUAUUAAACUCUAUAGGGUCUUCUCGUCUUCUAUAAAUAUCUAAGCUUUUUAACUUAAAAAUAAAAUUCAAAUAAAUUCUUACAGAGACAGAAUCCUCCUCAUCAAACCUUUCAUUCCAGCUUUCAAUUAAAAAACUAAUGAUUAUGCUACCUUUGCACGGUCAAUGUACCGCGGCCAUUUAACUACUCAUUGGGCAGGUCAGACUUAAAAUUAUUAUCAAUAAGCC